rnacentral:tRNA from 1 species
GGGUUUGUGGCUCAGUGGUAGAGCAUUUGCCUGGCAUGUAUGAGGCACUGGGUUUGAUCCUCAGCACCA